AUGGAGUUAGAACUUCUUAAAUUGGUGCUAGUCCUUCCUGUUGCGACAGCCGGUGUUAAGAGAGUCUUUUCAUCAAUGAACUAUAUAAAAAACAAGCUAAGAAGCAAGAUGGGGCAAAAAUACUUGAAUGAUUGCUUGGUCACAUUUGUUGAAAGGGAUUUCUUCUUCCAAGUUAAGGAUGAGGACAUCAUCACUCCUUUCCAGAGCAUCAAAGAUCGCAAAGUUACCUUGUAA
rnacentral:rRNA from 1 species